rnacentral:rRNA from 1 species
GACUACAGGGGUAUCUAAUCCCGUUUGCUCCCCACGCUUUCGUUCCUCAGCGUCAGUACAAGCCCAGCGGCCUGUCUUCACCGUCGGCGUUCCGAUAGAUAUCUACGCAUUUCACCGCUCCACCUAUCGUUCCGACCGCCCCUACUUGACUCAAGAUCUGUGGUUCGCGAAGCAGUUCCCCGGUUGAGCCGAGGGCUUUCACAACGCGCCUACAGAUCCGCCUACGAACGCUUUAAGCCCAGUGAUUCCGAUUAACGCUCGCACCCUCUGUAUUACCGCGGCUGCUGGCACAGAGUUAGCCGGUGCUUCCUUUGGGUAUGGUCAUUGUAUUCCUGCCCCCUGACAGCAGUUUACACCCCGAAGGGCUUCAUCCUGCACGCGGCAUUGCCCCGUCACGCUUUCGCGCAUUGCGGAAGAUUCCUUACUGCAGCCCCCCGUAGG